rnacentral:tRNA from 1 species
GCCAUGAUAGCUGAGUCGGGAGAGCGUUGGACUGAAGACGUAAGAGUCGCCGGUUCUAUCUCGGCUCGUGGCG